ensembl:snRNA U6 U6 spliceosomal RNA
GUGCUCAAUUCGGCCACACAUAUAGUAUAAUUGGAAUGAUUCAGAGAAGAUUAACAUGGCCUAUGCACAAGGAUGACAUACCAAUUCAUGAAGCAUUUCAUAAUUUU